rnacentral:tRNA from 1 species
UCUAAUAUGGCAGAAUAGUGCAAUGAAUUUAAGCUUCAUAUAUAAAGAUCCACUUUUAUUAGAA